UCUUAUGCUUCUGAGCUCAGCAAUGAAGUUUUAAUCACCCCAACAUACAUCUUUCCACAAUAUAUAUUUUUCUGUCUGCCGAAGACAUAAUGGCUGCUCCUUUUAUGGGAAACCAGGAUUUAAUCCAAGGCCUGAUUUAAAAGUCCUGCUGCUGUUUGCUGUAGUAACAGCUUCUCAAUAGCAAGGAGUUAAGGCAAACAAAAUGACAGAAUCGGAGACCAUCCAAUGUCCUACUCUGGUGAGUCAUAAUGAUUUUAUCACUUAAAUAUAGAAAAACUGUUUAGAGUCUG